UCAAUCCUCGUAAGAUUUGGCUUUACGAAUUGAUAAAUUUAGAAUUAAAUUUGUUUAAUUAAUUAAAUUUUGUACACAAAAUGAGUUUAGUUGCUAAUACCGGGAAAUUGGCGGGUCGCACACUGUUUAUAACUGGUGCAUCUCGAGGUAUCGGGAAGGCUAUAGCGCUGAAAGCGGCAAAAGAUGGUGCUAAUGUGGUUAUAGCGGCGAAAACCGCAACGGCACAUCCCAAGCUUCCUGGGACUAUUUACACUGCUGCUGAAGAAAUUGAAGCAGUGGGAGGGAAAGCACUGCCAUGUGUUGUAGAUAUCAGAGACGAAAAACAAGUGCAAAAAGCCAUAGAUGACACUAUUAAAAAGUUCAAUAACAUUGAUAUUGUAGUGAACAAUGCAUCUGCAAUCUCAUUAACAAACACAGAGACAACUGAUAUGAAGAGAUAUGAUCUCAUGCAUCACAUCAACACUAGAGGCACUUUUUUAGUGUCAAAGCUUUGCUUGCCUCAUCUAAAAAAUAGCAACCAUGCACAUAUUCUCAAUCUAUCUCCACCACUCAACUUGAACCCAUAUUGGUUUUCACUCCAUGUGGCGUACACGAUGGCGAAGUACGGCAUGUCGAUGUGCGUGCUCGGCAUGAGCGAAGAAUUCCGUCCGUACAACAUUGGUGUUAACGCGCUCUGGCCUAAGACAACAAUCGCGACAGCGGCGAUACAAAUGUUAACUGAUGACUUUUCCGCCACUCGCAAGGUGGACAUUGUCUCUGACGCAGCCUACGUCAUGCUUUGCAAGGAUCCAAAGUCGUACACGGGCAACUUUGCGAUAGACGAAGACAUCGUAACAGCGGCUGGCGUCAAGGAUCUCGUACCGUAUGCUCACGAUCCUAAAAACGCAGACAAGCUGAUGAUUGAUGGUUUCCUGGACGUGCCGGGGGCAGUGGACAGCCACAAGAGCUCCAGUUCGAUUAGUACGCAGCGUCGCGGAUACCGCACCUCCGCCGUGCGAUUUGAACAGAAGAAGAGAACGCACAAAACCUCUUACUGGACUUCUUUUUGGAUGUGCCCGCUGGCGACGCAAGGCAGCCUAAAAAGCCGGAAGCUGAGACGAAGGCAGGGCCUGAGGCAGCAGGCGGUCAAAUCACAGUGCUUUUCUCCACCAUCUCCAAGACCAUCACGCCUGAACUGGUGCAGAAAACUCAGGCCGUCUUUCAGUUCAACGUUAAAGGUAAAGAAGAAGGCGUAUGGCACUUGGACUUGAAGAACGGCGAUGGCGCGUGCGGAAAGGGCGAGCCAAAAGCUGCGCCUGACGCCACACUUACCAUGGACAGUGGAAACUUUGCCGACAUGUUUGCCGGAAAAUUGAAGCCAGCCACCGCCUUUAUGAUGGGCAAACUAAAGAUCAAAGGCGACCUGCAGAAGGCCAUGAAACUCGAGAAGAUGAUGAAGUCGCUCAAGAAUAAAGCCUAAUACGUCAUAGGGGUUAGAACUAGGAUAUUCUUGUAUACAGUGCAAUAAAAUCACUUAAACACAACUGACUUGAGGCAAUGAGAGAAUGGAAUUAUUGUAUAAGAUAAAUUGAAGACUGGUCAUUUUUCUUUAUGACGUUGAGUACAUACCAUAGAGGUAGAAUAUGACAAUACGAAAUAUAAUUUACUACGUCGUAUUCUGGGUUACAAAGUAAUUUGUCGUAACUAAAUUUUUACGUUAACUUGCGAAAUGCGAAAAUACGUGUAAAACAAAAUGGCUAGAUCAAUACGCCUAUCUUAGUCUUGCAAAAUGUAACCAAUCUUCACUUUCCCUAUAUGUAUAUGGGUUUUUGGUAAAUAACUACAUAUGUUAAUUUUUAUGUAAGAUUAAAUCACGAAUGUAUAAAAACUGAUAUUACUGGAUAUUUAGGUAACUUCGAGUAAAAAGAGGAACUGUACAAUUAACAUUACUUCAAGGUCCAAGAAGUAAAUAAUUGCUUGACGAGUAUGAGAUGAGUCGAGCGGUUGCUAUUUCCGUGGAGAUUAACAAAGCUUUUCUCAAUAAAUGCUGGGAAAUUAUACAAAUAUGUUUAAAAAAUAAGUUACCAAAAAGCGGGAAAACGAAUACAUAAGCCUAAGUCAUGGCCAAAGGCUGGACGCCAUAGUGGAAAGGCGUAAAAAAAAGCAUAAGUUUUAAUUUUUUUUCUAACCGUAGACCUUUUAAAACUGAAUUUAAAAAAAGAAACACGCACUGCGCUGAAAAACUUUACGCUGAAGCUUUAGCCACUUCAAAUAUUACGUAGUAGUAGUAACAUGUAGCUGUAAAAAGUGUAUUUUCAUACGGAUUUUGCUGAUUAGGCCGAGAAGUUAAUAUUACUUUCUGUUACUAAUUUUGAGGUAUGGCAAAUAUCAAGUCAUUGUUUAUUUGUUGAGCAUUGAUAUAAAACUAUCAGCUUAUAAAGAUAACAAAUAAUUAAGAAACUGAAAACGUAAUAUACUCAAAUUCAAAAAUCAUUCAUAUAAAAACGUAACUACAAAAACCCGCCAUUUUUAAGGCAUUGGCAAAAAUCAAACUCUUUGCAUCUUCUCUUUUCAAAAGAAAAGCUCACAUUUCCAAGCAUGGUUGAGAAAAAAAAUUUGUAGCACACAGAUGCAUAAGCAUUAUAUUGUUCUGCACCACGCUUUUUCAUUAUUGUUAUACAUGAAAAAAAAACAAUAACAACAUAAUAUCUUCAUAUAAAUCAUGUGCAGUAAAGGAUAAAAAGUUGUAAAUUUUAGAUUUUGUAUGUUUUCUAGUUUUGUGUACGUGUAUCAUGUUGAAUUUUAAAUAUUUUGAUAUGUACAAUGACUGUUUUUGGAUUUUAUUUUCAUUUUGUUGUGAAUUUUAUACAAAGCAGUGCGCAAACUUUGGAUUGUUGAACUGCCACUUGAAUAUUACACCAAGAAAAAUAAUUAUUAAGAAACAUCUCAGCAAUUAAGUGUCUUAUAAUUACACCUAAUAGACAACAACGGUAUCUUAUAACACCAAAUAAUCGUUAUUCACAUUAGACGACGACACGGUAACGACAUGGAUAUGAACCUAAUGUGUUGUUAGUGCGCUACAAAUAAGACAGAUGACGCUUUACACAAAAUUGUUCUUACCUCGUGUGGGUCGACCGUUAUUUAAAAUUAAUGCCCUCCAUUUUUAUCGAAAUGCAGUGAGUGAAGCUUUCUAGGCAUCCACUCACAUUACACAAUCUACGAACAGAAUGACUUGGCCAUUCUGUGAAAUUUCAAUCUAGCAUAAAAACACAAUUCUAAAGAACGAAACGUAAAUUUUUAAUUUCGUUCUGUGACUUGAUGUUAUGUCUAUGGAAAAAUAAAUUGUAAAGUUUUGCGCGCGCAAACGCAAAAAAAGAAAAGAAACACUACUGCUCCUCUGUAAGGAAUAGACAUUCGGCCUAUUUAUUGCCGCGGAAUGGAAUGGAAGCAAAUUUUAAUAACGAAAAUGUACGUAGCAGAAUGAACUUUAUGUCAUUGCAUAACGUGCAUACUAGAUACAAGCCAAAUUCUCGCGCAUUCUCUGGAAUUCGUAUACCGUCGGCGGCAUUUGGCGAGUUCGCAGGAACGUAGCGUCAAAUGUCUACGAAACCAGUAUAGAGAUAUCAAUCUUUGCAAAAUGUUUCAUGCAGGCUAAAAAGUUUUCGCUUGUUCGAUAAAUCUGGAACCCAAAUAUUUCUUUUCCUUUUUCUGUUCUCAUUCCUUUGCGCUUCGUCUUCUACCGCUUCACAAAUAUGUGAAAUAAAAUCAAUAAAUAAAGCCAGCAUUCUUGUGUAAAAUAUCUAGACUAAAGAACUGAAAACGUACCAUAGCCUCCAGGCUCAGACGCGCGCCUUCUCGGCGAAACUAGGCGAAAUUGUCGCGUCCGUUCCAUGCCAUUCCGCGGCAAUGUAUAUUGAGCUUUAGGUUCAUUUCAAUGUUUCCAUGUCAUUAUAGUUCUUAAGUCUUCUAAUUUCAAAACGUAAUCAAAUAAACACCCUACUUCCGUAGAAUUAUAUUACUCAGUAAUGGCAUUAUAUUAUUUUGUUCAAACAACAACGUAAGCGAAAUAAUUUCAAUUUAAUUUUGUUAUAACAAUAAACCUUUUUUACAACUGUGUAAAUAAAAUUUGAUAUUAUUAUAGUAUUUGGUAUUUUUUAUUCUUUACAGCUAAACAAAUCAGCGUCAUAACAAACUAUCAAUCCUUAUAUAUUCCACUACAAGGCACGAGACCCUGACGGUAUGACUGUCGGUCCAUGGCAGUUACGGAGACAGCUAGUGUGGGACGCAACCUGUGUGGACACUGGCCCCCUCCCAUGUCCGUGCAUACGUGUGUGGCGCAGGCUCUAUCGCCAGAUUUCCCCCCCGUAAAAAAAAAGGGCUCUAUCGCCAGAGCGACCGAGAACCGCAAAAGGUUCAAAUACCUUGCUCAGUGUUACAGAAUUGUGCCUUUUGCGGUUGAAACCCUGAGUCACUGGCACAGGCGAACUUCUAGCGAACGAGCUGUCAGAUCGCCAGCUGUAAAAGCCCCCUGUGACCACAAGGCUGGCAAUUAUUUCCGCAUAAGUUAUAAGUUUAACUAUUCAAAGGGGAAAUUCUAGGCACGAUGCCCCAGGGUAGGAGUGCUCGAUAUAUAUCGAUAUUGAAAAAAAUAUCGAUACAUAUAUGCCGAAUCGAAUCAAUCUGAUAUUAGUGUAUCAUUCGGUAUCGAUAUGUACUAUCAAUACAUUUUAUCCGAUACAAGAAAAAUCGUGCAAAGUUGAAAGUACACAAUUCAAGAUUGUACUUGCAGGAACGAAACGCACUUCGAGCGCUGAUUCGCUGGUCAUCCGUCAGUGUAACGUAGUGGUUAUGUUC